UAAUACAUGCAAGUAGAACGCUGAAGGAGGAGCUUGCUUCUCCGGAUGAGUUGCGAACGGGUGAGUAACGCGUAGGUAACCUGCCUGGUAGCGGGGGAUAGCUAUUGGAAACGAUAGCUAAUACCGCAUAAUAGCAGUUAUUGCAUGAUAACUGUUUGAAAGGUGCAAUUGCACCACUACCAGAUGGACCUGCGUUGUAUUAGCUAGUUGGUGGGGUAACGGCUCACCAAGGCGACGAUACAUAGCCGACCUGAGAGGGUGAUCGGCCACACUGGGACUGAGACACGGCCCAGACUCCUACGGGAGGCAGCAGUAGGGAAUCUUCGGCAAUGGACGGAAGUCUGACCGAGCAACGCCGCGUGAGUGAAGAAGGUUUUCGGAUCGUAAAGCUCUGUUGUAAGAGAAGAACGAGUGUGAGAGUGGAAAGUUCACACUGUGACGGUAUCUACCA
rnacentral:rRNA from 1 species